GACAGAGGUGCCGAGCGUUAGGCGGAAUCACUGGGCUUAAAGCGUGUGUAGGCGGGCGGGCAAGUACCUUGUGAAAUCCCACGGCUCAACCGUGGAACGGCUGGGUAUACUGCCUGUCUUGAGCCAGCUAGGGGCGAGCGGAACAGACGGUGGAGCGGUGAAAUGCGUAGAUAUCGUCUGGAACGCCGAAGGUGAAAACAGCUCGCUGGGGCUGUGCUGACGCUGAGACACGAAGGCCAGGGGAGCGAACGGG
rnacentral:rRNA from 1 species